rnacentral:rRNA from 1 species
GAUGAACGCUGGCGGCGUGCCUAAUACAUGCAAGUCGAGCGAACAGACGAGGCGCUUGCUCCUCUGACGUUAGCGGCGGACGGGUGAGUAACACGUGGAUAACCUACCUAUAAGACUGGGAUAACUUCGGGAAACCGGCGCUAAUACCGUAUAAUAUCUUGAACCGCAUGGUUCAAUAGUGAAAGACGGUGUUGCUGUCACUUAUAGAUGGAUCCGCGCCGCAUUAGCUAGUUGGUAAGGUAACGGCUUACCAAGGCAACGAUGCGUAGCCGACCUGAGAGGGGGAUAGGCGACAUUGGAACGGAGACACGGACCAGACUCCUAAGGGAGGCAGCAGUAGGGAAUCUGCCGCAAUGGGCGAAAGCCUGACGGAGCAACGCCGCGUGAGUGAUGAAGUUCUUCGGAUCGUAAAACUCUGUUAUUAGGGAAGAACAAAUGUGUAAGUAACUAUGCACGUCUUGACGGUACCUAAUCAGAAAGCAACGGCUAACUACGUG